GGAGAGGUGGCAGAGCGGUUCAAUGCACUUGACUCGAAAUCAAGCAUAGGGAAACCUAUCGGGGGUUCGAAUCCCCCCCUCUCCG
rnacentral:tRNA from 2 species